AAAAAAUCAAAAAACAAAACCUCAAGGCGACUGUGUAUAAGUCUUCAUCUUCAAAUGUAUGUGCCACAAUUAUAUUGCCUAUGUCUGCCCUGCCCUGGGAGGGGCUGACCCUCUUGUCUGUCCAGCUAGUCGUCCACAGGAUGUUCCCUAGACGUUGUUUCCGGCCACCCGCAGCCCUGAAUUCAGAGCGUCCCAUCUAUUAUUCAUCUAAUCAGCACAACACCUCAACGAGCUGAACAUAAUUUUCAGAUGGGGAAACAAGUGCGGAAAGAGAGUGGAUUUGAACUGAACCGAACUCUGU